rnacentral:tRNA from 1 species
GGGCGAGUAGCUCAGCUGGCAGAGCAUUCGGCUUACAUCCGAAAGGUCGUAGGUUCAAGUCCUAUCUCGCCCA